AGCGAACGCUGGCGGCAGGCCUAACACAUGCAAGUCGAACGAACCUUUCGGGGUUAGUGGCGGACGGGUGAGUAACACGUGGGAACGUGCCUUUAGGUUCGGAAUAACUCAGGGAAACUUGUGCUAAUACCGAAUGUGCCCUUCGGGGGAAAGAUUAAUCGCCUUUAGAGCGGCCCGCGUCUGAUUAGCUAGUUGGUUGAGGUAAUGGCUCACCAAGGCGACGAUCAGUAGCUGGUCUGAGAGGAUGAUCAGCCACAUUGGGACUGAGACACGGCCCAAACUCCUACGGGAGGCAGCAGUGGGGAAUCUUGCGCAAUGGGCGAAAGCCUGACGCAGCCAGGCCGCGUGAAUGAUGAAGGUCUUAGGAUUGUAAAAUUCUUUCACCGGGGACGAUAAUGACGGUACCCGGAGAAGAAGCCCCGGCUAACUUCGU
rnacentral:rRNA from 1 species